rnacentral:lncRNA from 1 species
CUUGUUCUUGGUCUACAAACGUUUAAUUUAACGCAAGGAUCAAUAAUUAAGGUCUGAUUUACCCGGAUUAUGACCAACCCAUGAUCCUAAUGUAUAGCUAGGGAUUUUUCCCACCAUUAACUUCAGGCUAAAACUCUCUCCCAAUGAUAAUUACCCAAGAAUCUAAAUUCUACAGAUUGAAAAAUAGAUUAGGGGAGUAAAAUCCUUACCUUUAGCACCAAAAGUCGUGGAAAACUGUCAAGAAAUCGCCAUGGGUCGUCACCUUACUCUUAAGAACGAAUUUGCACAAAAAUAACGAAAUAGGGGUUUUUCUCCGACUUAAGUCGCGACUGGCCCGCUAUAGCGGACCCCAACCCGCUACAGCGCCCCUGCCCUGGCGGCUUACAUGGAGACAGAACCUCAGAAUUUGAGUAUCAAGCCCCCAUUUCACAACACACCUUCACCCCUUGACAUUCAAAAAUUACCCUUUCAUGCCAAGACCAGGUUCGAGAGUUCUACUCGCUCGAAUUCGAUUCUGUAAAGUCGCACGGGCUCCUUAACGUAUUG